UGGCAUAGUGGUUAAGGUGUUUGGCUGCUAACCAAAAGGUUGGUGGUUUGGACCCACU
rnacentral:tRNA from 1 species